rnacentral:rRNA from 1 species
CUCCACGGGAGGCAGCAGUAGGGAAUCUUGCGCAAUGGGCGAAAGCCUGACGCAGCCAGCCGCGUGAAGAUGAAGGUCUUAGGAUGUAAAAUCUUUCACCGGGGACGAUAAUGACGGUACCCGGAGAAGAAGCCCCGGCUAACUUCGUGCCAGCAGCCGCGGUAAUACGAAGGGGGCUAGCGUUGCUCGGAAUUACUGGGCGUAAAGGGAGCGUAGGCGGAUAGUUUAGUGAGAGGUGAAAGCCCAGGGCUCAACCUUGGAACUGCCUUUCAUACUGGCUAUCUUGAGUACGGGAGAGGUGAGUGGAACUCCGAGUGUAGAGGUGAAAUUCGUAGAUAUUCGAAGAACCCAGUGGCGAAGGCGACUCACUGGCCCGUUACUGACGCUGAGGCUCGAAAGCGUGGGGAGCAAACAGGAUUAGAUACCCUGGUAGUCCACGCCUAAACGAUGAGUGCUAGUUGUCGGCAUGCAUGCAUGUCGGUGACGCACUAACGCAUUAAGCACUCCGCCUGGGGAGUACGGUCGCAAGAUUAAAACUCAAAGGAAUUGACGGA